rnacentral:rRNA from 1 species
AGUGAACGCUGGCGGUAGGCCUAACACAUGCAAGUCGAACGGCAGCACAGUAAGAGCUUGCUCUUACGGGUGGCGAGUGGCGGACGGGUGAGGAAUACAUCGGAAUCUACUUUUUCGUGGGGGAUAACGUAGGGAAACUUACGCUAAUACCGCAUACGACCUACGGGUGAAAGCAGGGGAUCUUCGGACCUUGCGCGAUUGAAUGAGCCGAUGUCGGAUUAGCUAGUUGGCGGGGUAAAGGCCCACCAAGGCGACGAUCCGUAGCUGGUCUGAGAGGAUAAUCAGCCACACUGGAACUGAGACACGGUCCAGACUCCUACGGGAGGCAGCAGUGGGGAAUAUUGGACAAUGGGCGUAAGCCUGAUCCAGCCAUACCGCGUGGGUGAAGAAGGCCUUCGGGUUGUAAAGCCCUUUUGUUGGGAAAGAAAAGCAGCAGGUUAAUACCCCGCUGUUCUGACGGUACCCAAAGAAUAAGCACCGGCUAACUUCGUG